rnacentral:rRNA from 1 species
UUCUUGGUCAUUUAGAGGAAGUAAAAGUCGUAACAAGGUUUCCGUAGGUGAACCUGCGGAAGGAUCAUUAUUGAACGAACACUGUGGCAUUGAGGCUGUAACUGUUGUAUGUUUUGCAUGCAAAUGUGCACGUCUCUACGCUGCUACUUCAUUCUAACUUUCCCACUGUGCAUAUAAUGUAGACAUUUGAGGAAAAAAGGAUGCUUCACUUUUGACCUUGGGUGUCUAUGUAUUUUAUAUAUACAUUUAUGGUUGUUUGUAAAAUGAGUAAUAAAAAAUAUGUAUAACUUUCAACAACGGAUCUCUUGGCUCUCGCAUCGAUGAAGAACGCAGCGAAAUGCGAUAAGUAAUGUGAAUUGCAGAAUUCAGUGAAUCAUCGAAUCUUUGAACGCAUCUUGCGCUCCUUGGUAUUCCAUGGAGCAUGCCUGUUUGAGUGUCAUUAAAACUCUCAAAACCUUUUUACACGUGUGGUGGAAGGUUUUGGAUUUGGGAUUUUGCUGGCUUUGUAAAAAAAAGCUUUAGCUGUCUUGAAAUAUAUUAGUGGAGGAUAUUGAACUUGUGCACUCUAGAUGGUGUGAAAAGAUUUAUCUAUGCCAGAAGAGUGUAAUGGUGAAUCGACUCUGAUAUCUAAUUGUCAUUGUACAACAAAAGUACUUGACCUCAAAUCAGGUAGGACUACCCGCUGAACUUAAGCAUAUCAAUAAGCGGAGGA